rnacentral:rRNA from 1 species
UAGGGAAUAUUGGACAAUGGGCGAAAGCCUGAUCCAGCCAUGCCGCGUGAGUGACGAAGGCCUUCGGGUCGUAAAACUCUUUUCUGAGGGAAGAACAACCGAGGCAGGAAAUGGCCCCGGCUUGACAGUACCUCAGGAAUAAGCAACGGCUAACUCCGUGCCAGCAGCCGCGGUAAUACGGAGGUUGCAAGCGUUGUUCGGAAUAACUGGGCGUAAAGGGUGCGUAGGCGGUCGGGUAAGUCUAAUGUGAAAUCUCUGGGCCUAACCCAGAAAUGGCAUUGGAUACUAUUCGGCUAGAGGAAUGGAGGGGGGACUGGAAUUCUCGGUGUAGCAGUGAAAUGCGUAGAUAUCGAGAGGAAGACCAGUUGCGAAGGCGACUCUCUGGGCAUUUCCUGACGCUCAUGCACGAAGGCCAGGGGAGCAAACAGG